UACGAGGGGAGCAAGCGUUGUUCGGAUUUACUGGGCGUAAAGGGCGCGUAGGCGGUCGUGACAAGUCACUUGUGAAAUCUCCGGGCUUAACUCGGAACGGUCAAGUGAUACUGUCGGACUAGAGUACAGAAGGGGCAACUGGAAUUCUCGGUGUAGCGGUGAAAUGCGUAGAUAUCGAGAGGAACACCUGCGGCGAAGGCGGGUUGCUGGGCUGAUACUGACGCUAAUGCGCGAAAGCCAGGGGAGCGAACGGG
rnacentral:rRNA from 1 species